rnacentral:lncRNA from 1 species
UACAAAUAUAAAUACAAAUACAAAUUCAAAUUAAAUAAAUAAAAAUUACAUUAAUUAAUUUAAAAAUUACAAAAUAGUCCCUAAAAACUCCAGAAAUUGCAGGGAAGGACUUCUGGGGCUGCAUGAACAGUAGCGGCGCGUGGACCCCACGCACCGCCGUGACUGGCGGCGCGUGGGCUCACGCACCUCCCCGAAAAUCAGGCAGCGUGGGGGGGCUGUGAUGCUUCCUCCUCUCUUCGAUCUCUCCACCUGUAAAUCCAAAAAAAACACACAGCAAGGGCAGUCGAUUUUAAGUUUUUUUUUUUAGUUUUUUCAAAUCUGUUUUUUUGUUCUUUCUUUCUCCGCCGUCUUCGAUCUGCUCCUCUUUCUCUUCUCCUUCGUUGCAGAUCAGUCCGUGGGUUUCUUCUUCUUCUCCUCUGCUUCAGGUGGUGGGGCGGCGGCUGAUGGAGAAGUUGUUUCGGUGGCGCCGCUGUGUGAGGGCUGUGGCUGGAGGAAGACGGCGCUGCUGUACGGGGAGGGGGCGUUGUUGCUGGCAGAAGGAGCUGGGUUUGCCCAAAUGAUGGGCGGCUGAGACGAUGGAGAUCGUGGCCGAGAGAGAGGAGCAGGACGGCGCUGCUGGGGGAACGGCUGCUGAAACUAGGAGGCGAUGGCUGAGAGGAGAAGAAGACGCUGCUGAGGAAGGCUGAGAAAGAAAGAAAUAUGGCAGGGAGGGAGACGGAGGAAAUGGGGCUGAGAGAGGUAGAAAGGGUAGGAGAUUUGUCUUGAUGAGGGGGAGCGGGUGGCUGUGAUAUGGGGAGCCAAGUCUUGGCCGACGGCUGGAAUCAAAAAACCAGUCGGGGGGGGGGGGGGGGGCUCUUUGUUUUUUUUUUUAGGAAAGGGGGCGGUUGUGUAUGAGAGGGUUUAGGUUAGGGUUUUUUGUAUUUUUUUUUAGAUGUUGUCAA